CCUGCACAAACAAACCUCGCUAAUUUACUACCUUAAGCCUAAACUCUGCUUAAAUUCCUCAGUAACUACACAGUUCAGCCAUAAGAACACAAGAAGGAUAGAAAUGAGAUUUUCGCCCACCCCGGCAGUUUUGGGGAACCAGCCAGUAGACCUUACUGGCCAGAAAACUGCUUUCCCCCUGAGGCUGCUGCAGCUAAGAGAUCCUGGACUUCUGACACAGAACCUGCUGAAAAGAUUGGGAAACUGAGGCUUCAAUUCUGAGACAGGUAGAGUCAUGAAGAGUUGAGGGAAUGGAAGCUCCCUGAUGGAGUGAAAAGCAUUGGAGGGAGCUUAGGAGGCUUCCUCUGAGGUUACCCAGUUGGCUACCCUUGGGCAGACCAACUGGUAAGAUGUGUGGGAACCAUUAGAAGACUCUUCAGGUGGAGAUGGAUAGCAUGGAAGAUACAAGUUCACUGAGGUCAAGAGUUUUACUUUUCUCUUUUUUUUUUUUGAGGAAGACUAGCACUGAACUAACAUCCACUGCCAAUCCUCCUCUUUUUUCUGCUGAGGAAGACUGGCCCUGAGCUAACAUCUGUGCCCAUCUUCCUCUACUUUAUGUAUGGGAUGUCUGCCACAGCAUGGCUUGACAAGUGGUGCGUAGGUCCGCACCCAGGAUCUGAACCAGCGAACCCUGGGCUGGCAAAGCAGAAUGUGAGAACUUAACCACUGCGCCACCAGGCCAGACCCAAAGGUUUUGUUUUUCUUUGCUUGUCCAGUGACUAGCAAAAGAUCCAGCACAAAACUAGCAUGAAGCAGAUACUUUUGAAGAAAAAAUCCAAAAGCAAGCAAGAGAAGAGUAAGAAGGAAGGAAGGAAAAAGGAAAGAAUGAGAGAGAGAAUGAGAAGGCAAAAGAGAAAGAGUAUAAGAUUAAAAAAAGAAAAGGAGAUACUGAAAGAAGAAAGAAGAAAGAAUGAGCAAAAAGAAAGAAGAAUAGAUGUAAAAGUUGCCUUAAGCUGAAAAAUAGUGAAAAAAUUUCUCUCAGUUUAAAAAGAAACUAUGCUUAAAUUAUUUACAGUCAGAAGCCAAUUUUGAAGUUUUAAAUUAUGUCAGACUUGCUACAGUUUACUGUUGUAGGAUUUAAGUAUUGCUGCUGUGAUUAAUAAGGGCAUUGUAUAAUGAGGUUUUAAAAUUUGCUUACAUAAUGUGAAUGUUCUGCAGACACUUGAUGCAAAGAUCAUGCGAAGUCUGAAAAGUUAAACAAUCAUAAUGAUGAUUAUUAAAUUUUCAUGUGAGGGUACAGUUCUCAAGGGACAUUCACUUACAUCAUUUCAUUUUUAGCCCUACCUCAAUUCUGAGUAGUAGCUUAUUUUGGCUCAAUUAGAGAGAUAAAGAAAGCAAACAAAGAGAGA
rnacentral:lncRNA from 1 species